rnacentral:rRNA from 1 species
AACGAACGCUGGCGGCAGGCCUAACACAUGCAAGUCGAACGCCCUAGCAAUAGGGAGUGGCGCACGGGUGCGUAACGCGUGGGAAUAUGCCCUUCACUGCGGAAUAACGUUUGGAAACGAACGCUAAUACCGCAUAAUGACUCCGGUCCAAAGAUUUAUCGGUGAAGGAUUAGCCCGCGUUAGAUUAGCUAGUUGGUGAGGUAAUGGCUCACCAAGGCGACGAUCUAUAGCUGGUCUGAGAGGAUGAUCAGCCACACUGGGACUGAGACACGGCCCAGACUCCUACGGGAGGCAGCAGUGGGGAAUAUUGGACAAUGGGGGCAACCCUGAUCCAGCCAUGCCGCGUGUGUGAAGAAGGCCU